UAGAAUGAAAUAACGUUGUUCGAAAAGAUAACAACAAUAAAAUAAUAAUCGGAUCGUUCGAUAGGAAGUCGCGUGCUAACUCGAGUAGCUUAGAGGACACUAAAAAAAGAUAAUACGACUAAAGAAGAUUAUGGUUUUUUUUUUUUUUUUUAAUUGAAAAAGAUAUCAAGCAUUUUUAAAUGAAAAUGGUUAACAAAGAAUCCUAGGAAAAAAAAAGAAUUAAAAUUUGUUCCAUGUCAUUAUCAUAGUUCAAAUUAAACCUUGAAAUUAGUAUAAUUUAAAUCUUACUUUAGAAAUGAUCGAACAAUCUACUUUUUAUGCUCGCAUAAUUUUUAACAUUCUAAAAUUAUUCCCGCAAGUAUCCAUUUAUCAUCAUUGAUCAUUUACAGGAGUUUAAUCUAUUUAAAGUAAAAAUUAAAAGAAUUAUUACUAUAUUAUGACAGUGAUCACGUGUUAAUCGUCCGAGUAAUUUGAAGUUUUUAAAUGAAAAUGAUUAAAAAAAAUCGUUUAAAUAUAUAUUAAUAAUCUUUAAAAUUUAUAUUGUUAAAAUUGUUUUUUAUACUCGCGUGAUUUAUAAUAACGAUCUCAAAAGUUUUCCCACAAUUACCACCCACUUCUAUCACCGAUCAAUCUUACAUGGGCUUGAUCCUUAAUCGUAGAGAGAAAAAAGUUAGAACACUGUGGACAUCGUGAUGGUGGUCGCGUGCAUGAUCCAUCGACGCACGUGAUUCCUGAUGUGCAAUCGGAAGGGAAAACGCCUUUCGACGAGCCUACUGAGAAAUUGAUAGCUCAACCGAGUUCACACCACCGACACGUGCUCUACGACUUGGCUGUAAAAGUGCCCUCGUAAUUGAGAUAUCAUGAUCGCUUUCACGCCAACGACAGAUUCUUAAACUAAUUCCGUAACGAAGACACGUGCCAACGGAAUAAGCGAAAAACGAAAGCGACGCUCUGCGGCUAAACGGCAAACAUUACAUGUCGUCCCGAUGUGCGAUAUCAACCACGACACGUGCCGUUCUCCGACGCUUGUCACCGAACGCCUACGCGUGCUAAUAUUUGCGUGAUAAAUUCUCUCCUCUUCUUCGAUGUAUUUUCUACGGAGUGUAAACUCAUCGAUAAUCGGAGAACCCGAUACAAGAACCCGAUCAACUAAAAAACAGAUGGAGUUUUGUAUUAUUACUCUUCAUGAUCCGACGAAAAGUUUAGACUACUUGAUUUGUGUAAAUAUUACUCAUAAACUAAACUACAAGACUUUAAACGAAUGGGAGAAAAAAAAAGAUCGAUAUAUGACGGACAUGAAGUACUAUGUAAGAGAAAGAAAGGAGAAAAUUGUAAAGUUGAUUACACCAGAAAUGCAUUGAUUGAGUGAUUUGUGAUUGUGUUCCGUGUUCCUUGUUCUGUGUUCCCUAUUCUGUUUCUUGCUCUGUGUUCCCUGUUUUGUGUUCUAUGUUCAUACAAAUGGCGUGAUGGAUGCAUGCUUUAUAUAAAUCAAGUAGUCUGUAUUUAAACUCCGAUCGCGGAAAAUAAUUUUAUUUCAUAAAUUUCAGCGGUUCUCAAUUUUCUGAUGCAUAGAUGAUAUUUAAGCACUUUUCCAAAUAAUCGAUCAUAUAGCAGUAAAACAUUUACUUUACACAUUAAAUUCACGUAUGAGCUGAGUCAAUGUGAAUGCGAAUACUUGCUGUAUAUAUUAUACUAUAUUACUUCGUAUACUAUAUGUUCGAUAUGCUUGACGAAGGAAUAUACUAAUAUAUUCUGAUAUAUGAAAUAUAUAUACUGAUACAAUAUAUCAUUUAAUUUAUUUAAUAUAUUCGA